rnacentral:lncRNA from 1 species
CAUCUGUAUCAAACAUCGCGGAAGAAAGCCAGAACUGAUUAGAGACAGAGUCGACUUAAAGCAUCUCAGAACUGAAGGCUAGAGAGAAGUGUGAGUCGAGAACGAGUUUCAGAAGCGUCAUAUUUCUUCCCCGCGUUGAGGCCAGACAGAGAUCGAAGGAAAAUUUUGUUCGGACAGGAAGCAGUUCUAUUCGUAUAUGCUGAUGCCAUCAAGAUCUAAAAGCUAACAAAUCCUGACAUGCCGGUUUCACCUCUGUCAUCAUGUUACACGCACAUCGCGUGAUCCGAGGAGGAAAUUACUAGUUCUACCCAUGUAUCUUAUAAAUAUAUCAUUAUUCGUCAUUGUAAGUUGUAACACAAGUAUUGAGAUAUACAAUAUAUUGCCACAGGUAAUCCAUCGAUCUAAAAUAAAUUUAAUAAAUGCAGUCGUCUUGUCACACACACAAGGGUGAAGGAGUAUAUAAAUGUAUGUAUACUGUUAAUUGGUCAAUUAUCGGGUCCAAGAUGGGGUCGACUUACACCCAUUUAAGAUUAUAUACUAAGA